AGAUGGCGCGGCUUAAAUUAAUUCAUUUCGAUUCUGUGCCGCUUUUAACAUGAGUAGGAUCGCGGGGGAAGUUACGUGCAAAAACAGGCUUGUUUCCUACAUCACCUACAAUGCUGUUCAACUGCCUGCCAACUGUGGGGCUUGGGGAAAUUUAGCCCGACCUGAAGUGACUAAUAUAGCAGCACUUUGAUCUGUCCUAGUACCUGAAGGUGCUGUAUGGUUUCCAGAAGCAAAAUCAUCUACAAUCACUUUGACAAACCUUGGAAUUGUGUUAAAUUGAACUGUGGCAGGAUUCAACUCAAGACAACACAAUUCAUAUCUUCCUGCUUCAAAGACUUUUGCCAUGUCAGUUUUGUGCACCACUGCAUGCUGUAAAAGAUGGACCAUAAAAUGCUGAAAAUAUUUGGCAAUGAGGAAAUGUCUGAUAUUGAAGUCUUUUGUCUUUCAGGAGUACUGAAAUAUAAUACAGUAUUAACUAUUA